GAGUUUGAUCGUGGCUCAGAUUGAACGCUGGCGGCAGGCCUAACACAUGCAAGUCGAGCGGAUGACGGGAGCUUGCUCCUUGAUUCAGCGGCGGACGGGUGAGUAAUGCCUAGGAAUCUGCCUGGUAGUGGGGGACAACGUUUCGAAAGGAACGCUAAUACCGCAUACGUCCUACGGGAGAAAGCAGGGGACCUUCGGGCCUUGCGCUAUCAGAUGAGCCUAGGUCGGAUUAGCUAGUUGGUGGGGUAAUGGCUCACCAAGGCGACGAUCCGUAACUGGUCGUGAGAGGAUGAUCAGUCACACUGGAACUGAGACACGGUCCAGACUCCUACGGGAGGCAGCAGUGGGGAAGUAUUGGGCGAAUGGGCGAAAGCCUGAUCC
rnacentral:rRNA from 1 species